GGUGGACGCGUAUUAUUGGGCUGUACAUUCCUGGGUUGAGCAUUCUCGGGCCGCGCAAUAUUGGUCCGGGGCGAUAAUACGAAGCCACUCUUUUCACAGGGCAAUAAUGUACGACCCCAUAAUUCGCGUCCAAUAAUUUGAGUCCCUUGGCUUUCAAUUAUUGGGCUGCGCAUUAUUGGUACAGGUCGAGAAAGCCCGACCCAAUAAUGUACGACCCAAUAAUAGGAAGCCAAAAACCAGAGAGAUUCUUUUUUUUAAGGGAGCUGUCAAAAUUAGUAGGGACGUUCUGACAUUAGCUCUUGACAAUUUAAAAAUAAUCGGUUUUUUCUAGUGCCAUCUUUCAGUGACAUUGACAGUAUUGUAUUGACAGUUGUUGGUUUACAAAUACAAUAAAAUGAAUUCUAAUAAAAGAAACAGUAGACUCAGUAGAGGUACGAGGUACUGAAAAAAUAUUAAUUAAUGGAGAAGCCGAAGUUGGAGGAAAACAAGAAGAUUCGAGGAGAAUGGUGUGGCACUUAAUGCCGCCGGGACAGUAACCUAGCUGCAGCUCCAACUCUAGGGAAUUGGGCUGAAUGAACGCAACACGUGAUCGACAGCCCACCUGCUUCCUGCCGAGCGUCCCUACACUACAUCUACAUGGAUUCGCUUAUUCUGCUCUACAAAACUUCUGAGCUGAUACAAGCAGCCAGAAUGAGUCUCUGCUGAGUCGCCGGCGCCGGACGUGCGUCGCGCGCCUCGGGCGACUGACGUCUUCGUGUGAGUCGCCAAUUGCAGGGGAAGAUACGAAUAGUUAGGUAUAAAAGCUACUUUAGUCAACCUCGCCUCAGUACUGUUUGUAUUGACUGAAAUACAAGUAGCAUAUAUGAGACGUUCGGACGUAUCCGUGAAAAUACGAAGGUAAAGGAAAUUGCACUACAUUUUUAGAACCUAUUCACCUGUCAGUAAAAUAUUGAAAAGGAAAGUUCAUGAGUUUUAUUAUUUUCUUUCCUCCAACAGCUUCACAUGGAGCAAAUGUAAACCUUUUAUGUUAAUAAUAUCAGUAAUGUCAAGGUACAACGCUCUUUAGAGCAUAUUGCCAUUCCUUUUACUCGAGUGGCCUGUGGGUUAACUAUACGAAGCGAGCCUACGAUGCAUUAAAAGUGCAGUAUAACAAUGCAUUCAGAAUGCUGUUGGGCUUACCUCGUAGAUGUAGUGCAUCUGGCAUGUUUUGCGAAGCUA